UUGAGAAAAGUCAAUCGGACC
rnacentral:miRNA from 2 species